AGAGUUUGAUUAUGGCUCAGGAUGAACGCUAGCUACAGGCUUAACACAUGCAAGUCGAGGGGCAGCAUUGGAGUAGCAAUACUCAGAUGGCGACCGGCGCACGGGUGAGUAACACGUAUCCAACCUGCCGCUUACUCGGGGAUAGCCUUUCGAAAGAAAGAUUAAUACCCGAUGGUAUAAAGAGUUCGCAUGUUCUCUUUAUUAAAGAAUUUCGGUAAGCGAUGGGGAUGCGUUCCAUUAGAUAGUUGGCGGGGUAACGGCCCACCAAGUCUACGAUGGAUAGGGGUUCUGAGAGGAAGGUCCCCCACAUUGGAACUGAGACACGGUCCAAACUCCUACGGGGAGGCAGCAGUGAGGAAUAUUGGUCAAUGGACGAGAGUCUGAACCAGCCAAGUAGCGUGAAGGACGACUGCCCUAUGGGUUGUAAACUUCUUUUGCAGGGGAAUAAAGUGCAGGACGUGUCCUGUUUUGUAUGUACCCUGAGAAUAAGGAUCGGCUAACUCCGUGCCAGCAGCCGC
rnacentral:rRNA from 1 species